rnacentral:rRNA from 1 species
UAGGGAAUAUUGCGCAAUGGGCGAAAGCCUGACGCAGCGACGCCGCGUGAGUGAUGAAGGCCUUGGGGUCGUAAAGCUCUGUUGUACGGGAAGAAAAAAAUGACGGUACCGUAUAAGAAAGGAUCGGCUAACUUCGUG